GCCUACGGGGCGCAGCAGUGGGGAAUAUUGCACAAUGGGCGAAAGCCUGAUGCAGCAACGCCGCGUGAACGAAGAAGGCUCUUGGGUCGUAAAGUUCUGUUCUGAGGGAAGAAGAAAGUGACGGUACCUCAGGAGAAAGCCCCGGCUAACUACGUGCCAGCAGCCGCGGUAAUACGUAGGGGGCAAGCGUUGUCCGGAAUUACUGGGUGUAAAGGGAGCGUAGGCGGGACGGCAAGUCAGAUGUGAAAACUGAGGGCUCAACAUUCAGACUGCAUUUGAAACUUCUGUUAUUGAGUGAAG
rnacentral:rRNA from 1 species